ACCCUUGCCAAGUAUGUCUUAAUGCAAUGCAUGAUUAAUGUCUAAAUCAGUAAGGCAGGACCAGGAACGGAUUCCAAUUCACUCUUACUAGUUGAGCAGGAAGAAAAAUGAUUUCAGUUUCAUCUCUUUGCCUCAUCUCUGAGUAUGCGACUGCUGUUUGGCAUAAAGGAAGUGCCUGUGUGAUCCAGCGAGACUCAGAGAGAGCAAGUGUGUGACUACUGAGACAGUAAAGUGAAGAGCAGCACUGAACUACAGUGGGAAACCAGCUUCAGCCGCACACAAGUAAAGUACGUGGGGGAAAGGUUUUCCUGUGACAUCCACUUUUCUUUCCAAUAGAGGCUGAGGUGCCUGGCAAGGAUUUUCUGCACACAGAUAGAAUGAAAGUAUGGGACUAAAAUUCUCAUGUUUGAAAGGUCUACCGUUUUGUAACAGCAAUGAGGAGAUUCCUUCAGGCACUUCUGACGGUCAUCUGAAUGUCCCUGAUAUUAUUGUUACCCCACCCACCCCUACAGGGACAAUGAUCAGCAGAGCUCCAGGGCAAGGGAACAGUUCAACCCCUGCAGAGCAAAUCCAUUGAGCCCAAACUCCUGGAGAUGAACAGGAGGGAUCAGCCAAGGAUGCCUAGUUUUCAAUAAACACUAGUGUUUUUUUUA